rnacentral:rRNA from 1 species
UACAGAGGUGCCAAGCGUUAGGCGGAAUCACUGGGCUUAAAGCGCGUGUAGGCGGGUCGUUAAGUGUCCGAGUGAAAUCCCACGGCUCAACCGUGGAACUGCCGGGCAUACUGGCGAUCUUGAGGCAUUCAGGGGCGAGCGGAACAAAUGGUGGAGCGGUGAAAUGCGUAGAUAUCAUUUGGAACGCCAAUGGUGAAAACAGGUAGCUGGGGAUGUGCUGACGCUGAGACACGAAAGCCAGGGGAGCAAACGGG